rnacentral:rRNA from 1 species
GUAGUCCUGGCAGUAAACGGUGCGCGUUUGGUGUGGGGGGAUUCGACAAUCUCCGCGCCGGAGCUAACGCGUUAAACGCGCCGCCUGGGAAAUACGGUCGCAAGAUUAAAACUCAAAGAAAUUGACGGGGGCCCGCACAAGCGGUGGAGUAUGUGGCUUAAUUCGAUGCAACGCGAAGAACCUUACCUAGGCUUGACAUGCAUCGCUAAGUUGGUGAAAGCCAGCGAGCCCCGCAAGGGGCACUUUGCACAGGUGCUGCAUGGCUGUCGUCAGCUCGUGUCGUGAGAUGUUGGGUUAAGUCCCGCAACGAGCGCAACCCUUAUGAACUGUUGCCAUUGGCCUAAAGCCUGGCUCUCUGUUCAGACCGCCCUGUGAAACGGGGA